rnacentral:tRNA from 1 species
CAGAGUAUAGCUAAGAUAGAAAAGCACCUCCCUUACACCGAGAAGACAUCCGUGCAAAUCGGGUCACCCUGA